rnacentral:rRNA from 1 species
GGCUCAGGAUGAACGCUGGCGGUAUGCUUAACACAUGCAAGUCGAACGAUGUUUUAGGACAUAGUGGCGGACGGGUGAGUAACGCGUAAGAAUCUACCUUCAGGUUUGGGACAACCAUUGGAAACGGUGGCUAAUACCGAAUGUGCCGAGAGGUGAAAGGCUUGCUGCCUGAAGAAGAGCUUGCGUCUGAUUAGCUAGUUGGUGGGGUAAGAGCCUACCAAGGCGACGAUCAGUAGCUGGUCUGAGAGGAUGAUCAGCCACACUGGGACUGAGACACGGCCCAGACUCCUACGGGAGGCAGCAGUGGGGAAUUUUCCGCAAUGGGCGAAAGCCUGACGGAGCAAUACCGCGUGAGGGAGGAAGGCUCUUGGGUUGUAAACCUCUUUUCUCAGGGAAGAAAAAAAUGACGGUACCUGAGGAAUAAGCAUCGGCUAACUCCGUGCCAGCAGCCGCGGUAAUACGGAGGAUGCAAGCGUUAUCCGGAAUGAUUGGGCGUAAAGGGUCCGCAGGUGGUAGUGUAAGUCUGCUGUUAAAGAGUCACGCUCAACGUGAUAAGAGCAGUGGAAACUACACAACUAGAGUACGGUAGGGGCAGAAGGAAUUCCUGGUGUAGCGGUGAAAUGCGUAGAUAUCAGGAAGAACACCGGUGGCGAAAGCGUUCUGCUAGACCUGUACUGACACUGAGGGACGAAAGCUAGGGGAGCGAAUGGGAUUAGAUACCCCAGUAGUCCUAGCCGUAAACUAUGGAUACUAGGUGUGGCUUGUAUCGACCCGAGCCGUACCGUAGCUAACGCGUUAAGUAUCCCGCCUGGGGAGUACGCACGCAAGUGUGAAACU